rnacentral:misc_RNA from 1 species
GAAAUGCGAUAAGUAAUGUGAAUUGCAGAAUUCAGUGAAUCAUCGAAUCUUUGAACGCACCUUGCGCUCCUUGGUAUUCCUUGGAGCAUGCCUGUUUGAGUAUCAUGAAAUCUUCAAAGUAAAUCUUUUGUUAACUCAAUUGGUUUCUACUUUGGUAUUGGAGGUCUUUGCAGCUUCACACCUGCUCCUCUUUGUUCAUUAGCUGGAUCUCAGUGUUAUGCUUGGUUCCACUCGUCGUGAUAAGUUAUCUAUCGCUGAGGACACUGUAAAAGGUGGCCAAGGUAUAUGCAGAUUAACCGCUUCUAAUAGUCCAUUGACUUGGACAAUACUUUUAUGAUCUGAUCUCAAAUCAGGUAGGACUACCCGCUGAACUUAAGC